AGGACGAACGCUGGCGGCGUGCUUAACACAUGCAAGUCGAGCGAGGCGCCUUCUUCGGAAGGUGACCUAGCGGCGAACGGGUGAGUAACACGUGGGCAACCUGCCCUCAGCUCUGGGAUAACUCCGGGAAACCGGGCUAAUACCGGAUAUGACUUCGGUCGACAUCGACCGGGGUGGAAAGAUUUCGGCUGAGGAUGGGCCCGCGGCCUAUCAUGCUUGAUGGUGAGGUAACGGCCCACCAUGGCGACGACGGGUA
rnacentral:rRNA from 1 species